UGGGGAAUAUUGGACAAUGGGCGAAAGCCUGAUCCAGCCAUGCCGCGUGUGUGAAGAAGGUCUUCGGAUUGUAAAGCACUUUAAUUUGGGAGGAAGGGCAGUAAGCGAAUACCUUGCUGUUUUGACGUUACCGACAGAAUAAGCACCGGCUAACUCUGUGCCAGCAGCCGCGGUAAUACAGAGGGUGCAAGCGUUAAUCGGAAUUACUGGGCGUAAAGCGCGCGUAGGUGGUUCGUUAAGUUGAAUGUGAAAGCCCCGGGCUCAACCUGGGAACUGCAUCCAAAACUGGCGAGCUAGAGUAGGGCAGAGGGUGGUGGAAUUUCCUGUGUAGCGGUGAAAUGCGUAGAUAUAGGAAGGAACACCAGUGGCGAAGGCGACCACCUGGGCUCAUACUGACACUGAGGUGCGAAAGCGUGGGGAGCAAACAGG
rnacentral:rRNA from 1 species